UCCCCUGGAACACAAGAACAUGUUUAACCUCUGUUUUUCUUUUAAUCCUAGUCUGUCUUAUUGUAUGUCUGUUACAUAGUUUUGAUAGGGUAAUAUGUAAAGCGUCUUAGAGUACCAUAUGAAGCGCUACAUACAUUUCAUUCAUCAUUUUUAUUAGUAUUAGCACCUCCGGGGUCACCUUAAAACACCUUAAACAUCCUUACAGCACAAUAUGAGCGCCUUAAAACCUCCUGAGAGCACCUUCAACCUCCUCAGAGCACCUUGAACCUCCUCAGAGCACUUUAAACGGCCUUCAAGCUACUUCAACCUCCGUAGGGCACCUUAAACCGCCUUAAACAUCCUUCCAGCUCAGUAAGAGCUCCUUUGAAUCUCCUUAAAACAUUCUAAGGGCCUUUUCGCCGUCUCCAAGUACUCGCAGUUGUUUUAGAGUGCCUUUCAACCCUUUAAGGCUAAAAACUUGAGGGGAGAUCUGGUUUCAAGACUGGGGAACUAAGGUCCCAGGCCCCCCUCCCAGAGUGUAGGUCUGAUUCAGACGGGUGGAGGUGUUUAGACCUGUGUGUAGGUCUGGCUCAACGGGUGGAGGUGUUCAGGUGGGUGGAGGUGUUCAGGUGGGUGGGGGUGCCAGACCUGUGUGUAUGCGGAUGUGCAGCUUGAGGUAGUGCUCCGUCUUGAAGGUCUUCCUGCAGGUGGGGCACCUGAAGGCCCCCCCGAGGC